UAUAUAUGCUCCAUAUAUGUGAGUACAUUCGUGAUCAGAUUCUUUUGUUCUUUUUCAUGCACCUAUAACUACCUUCAGAAUGUACAACAGUGUAUAUUAUAUACACUAAUGCACACGUUUCACCUCCAAGCUUGUUUGUCUCGUGUCAUGGAAAUUGCAAAAUGGCAAGGCAACCUGCGACAAGUAUGCACGUUGGAACCUGAAUCCUACCAUUAUUGGUACCUGAUAUUUGAGCGAGCUGAAUGUUGAGUGGUUUCCAUGGUGGCAGAUGAAGUCACUAGUAUGGUAUAGAUCCGGGCAUACCUGUACAAAUGAAUUUUAACGAGCCAUCCGUCUCGGACUAAUGUGACUCAUCUCUAGCAGAUGCAACACGUCACGGAUGAUCUAUAAUAGGUCACAGCCAUACCCCGUAACAGGUAACAUACAUGUCAGCUGGGACGGGUCGUAACUAAGCUACAACAUUUCAGGGAUAAUCACCCGUCACAAAUGAGGGAGAAUUCAAAUUUUUGAAUUUUUCAAAUAACCCCUGAUAGAGAUAUACCCUACAUAAAAGUUGUAGAUCUACUAGAUCUAUUAUUUUAAAAUUGAUAAUAUUUAAGUUUGAGAUAGUUUGCAUGCCCGGAUAA